rnacentral:rRNA from 1 species
GAUGAACGCUAGCUACAGGCUUAACACAUGCAAGUCGAGGGGAAACGACAUCGAAAGCUUGCUUUUGAUGGGCGUCGACCGGCGCACGGGUGAGUAACGCGUAUCCAACCUGCCCACCACUUGGGGAUAACCUUGCGAAAGUAAGACUAAUACCCAAUGAUAUCCCACGAAGGCAUCGGAAUGGGAUUAAAGAUUUAUCGGUGAUGGAUGGGGAUGCGUCUGAUUAGCUUGUUGGCGGGGUAACGGCCCACCAAGGCUACGAUCAGUAGGGGUUCUGAGAGGAAGGUCCCCCACAUUGGAACUGAGACACGAUCCAAACUCCUACGGGAGGCAGCAGUGAGGAAUAUUGGUCAAUGGGCGAGAGCCUGAACCAGCCAAGUAGCGUGCAGGAUGACGGCCCUAUGGGUUGUAAACUGCUUUUAUAAGGGAUAAAGUGAGUCUCGUGAGACUUUUUGCAUGUACCUUAUGAAUAAGACCGGCUAAUUCCGUG